rnacentral:rRNA from 1 species
UACGUAGGUGGCAAGCGUUUGUCCGGAAUUAUUGGGCGUAAAGCGCGCGCAGGCGGCCUUUUAAGUCUGAUGUGAAAGCCCACGGCUCAACCGUGGAAGGUCAUUGGAAACUGAAAGGCUUGAGUACAGAAGAGGAAAGCGGAAUUCCACGUGUAGCGGUGAAAUGCGUAGAGAUGUGGAGGAACACCAGUGGCGAAGGCGCUUUCUGGCCUGCUCUUGACGCUGAGGCACGAAAGCGUGGGGAGCAAACAGG